GGCAGAAUUAUCGAUGUAUUUUUAUUUUGAAAAAGCCUUUAUUUUGAAGUUGUCUGUUGAUGGUUGUCACUUCCUGUCUGCUGUUUUGAUGUUUAGUUUUCCACACGUACAUGCUUUUCUGGAUGCACGGCUGUCUACUUUGUUAACCUCCACAGAGUUUUCACUCUGUAAUGUGUAUCAAGAGCCACAGUAAGGGAGUCAAGUUUACUAUGACUCACGAUUCAUUUUACAAGAACGAGUUUAACUAGUUGGACAGCUGCAGCUUUUACGUUGCAGUGAAGACAGCACACAUGGAGACGGCUUUCCUUUUCUUCAAACCAUCAGAAGAGUCUGACUGACGCUUGGGAGCCAUAAUGAAGGGCACAAAGUUAGAGAAUGUAGCAUAAUCCAAGGUAGCAUACAACCAGAGAUUGGAAACAAAGCCGUUUUAUAGCGCCACAUGACGACGUAUUCAUCUGCCCUGCUCACCAACUAGUUCCAUGUAACCAGUUCUGACAUAACGACAGAACUCCAUAGGGUCCCUGGUCCCAGAGCUAGAUGCUUCAGAUCUGUGGUUGUUCUCCUACCAACUGGCCUAAUCUCCACCUGUGGGAUGCUGCUGCUGACCUUCCUCCAGCCCACUGCUUCCAGCUGCCUAUUUCCACCAAUCUACUCUGCAUCACCCUCACUAUACUUGAUAUGUUCAUCGACUGACUGUUUGAAUUUUACUACCAGCUACAUAUGUAGUAUAUUUAAUGCCAGAGCCGUACACCAUAACAGUAAACUAUGAAUCAGUUUCAAUGUUAGCUUGUACUUUGUAUAUUUCAUCUAUGUUACUCUGAUCUUGCAUGCAUUCCAAUGUGUGUUACAUGCUUCGUUGUCCACCACCCCCUCUACCUCUUCUGUCCCUCUCAACCCGCAGGCCAGCAACAGAUGGGUCCCCCCAUAUAAAGAUAUGGGUUCUGUAAAGCGUCUUGAGACAAUUUGACUGUAAUUGGCGCUAUAUAAAUAAAAUUGAAUUCAAUUGAUGUUUUUGUGCAAAGCUAGGCUAACAGGUUCGCCUUCCUUUCAGUCAUGGUGCGUAACUGAUCUGAGUGUUCUUCUGCUUUCAAUCUUUGUAGUGAGCUAGGGCUUCCUGAGACUGUCUGUCUGUCUGUACCUGAGAGUGUCUGUCUGUUUGUACCUGAGAGUUUCCAGUCUACAGUCUGAAUCCUCCACUUUAGCUCUCAGCAUCUUCUCUCCUGAGUCUCCCGGAUGGCUGUAGCUCAGGUCCAGCUCUCUCAGAUUUGAGGUCUUGCAGCUCAGAGCUGAGGCCAGAGAAGCACAGCCUUCCUCUGUGACCAGACAGCCUGACAGCCUGCACACACAAAACAACACAAACCUGACGGACAACACUUGGCUGGAUGUUUCUCACUCUUUUCUUGUUUGUCUUUCACCUACAUUUUGCUGCACAUUUCAUGCGUCUCAAGCAAAUCAACAAUCUCAACAAUGAUUAGUGGAAUUUAAUCAUGUAGAAAAUAAACCCGGACAAAGUCCUGCACAA